GUACUUACCUGGCAGGGGAGAUACCAUAAUCACAAAUAUGGUUUUCCCACAGCGAAGCUUAUCCAUUGCACUCCAGAUGUGCUGACCCCUGUUAUUUCUCCAAACAUAAGAAACUUGGCAGCAGAAUUAAUGGUAGUGGGGGGUCUGCAUUCACUCUCUCCCCUG
rnacentral:snRNA from 1 species